AAUGCUUUGCCACAGUGUAAACAGUGGGUUAAAUAACAGCUUGGAAAACUUAAGGACCAUGAGUUUGGAUGGAGACCUCGCCAGAAAUGGAGUGACUGAAUGACCUUGGCUUUAUGCCUCCAUUUCCCCAACACAAGGAUUAUUGUGAAGACUAAUGAAAAUGUUGACUUUCACCUUGCCCAAAAGCCAGUGUUUAUUGCAAAGGCUUGGAGAGACCACAGCUCUUAA
rnacentral:lncRNA from 1 species